GCCUGGAUAGCUCAGCUAGUUAGAGCAUGGGGCUGAUCAUGCCAAGGUUACAGGUUUGAUCCCUGUAUGGGAUA